rnacentral:rRNA from 1 species
AGCGAACGCUGGCGGCAGGCUUAACACAUGCAAGUCGAACGCCCCGCAAGGGGAGUGGCAGACGGGUGAGUAACACGUGGGAACGUACCCUUUGGUUCGGAAUAACUUGGGGAAACUCAAGCUAAUACCGGAUAAGCCCUUAUGGGGAAAGGUUUACUGCCGAAGGAUCGGCCCGCGGCUGAUUAGCUAGUUGGUGAGGUAAUGGCUCACCAAGGCGACGAUAAGUAGCUGGUCUGAGAGGAUGAUCAGCCACACUGGGACUGGGACACGGCCCAGACUCCUACGGGAGGCAGCAGUGGGGAAUAUUGGACAAUGGGGGCAACCCUGAUCCAGCCAUGCCGCGUGAGUGAUGAAGGCCUUAGGGUUGUAAAGCUCUUUUACCCGGGACGAUAAUGACUGUACCGGGAGAAUAAGCCCCGGCUAACUUCGUGCCAGCCGCCGCAGUAA